UUAAGCGACUAAGCGUACACGGUGGAUGCCCUGGCAGUCAGAGGCGAUGAAGGACGUGCUAAUCUGCGAAAAGCGUCGGUAAGGUGAUAUGAACCGUUAUAGCCGGCGAUGUCCGAAUGGGGAAACCCAGUGCAAUUCGUUGCACUAUCGUUAACUGAAUACAUAGGUUAACGAGGCGAACCGGGGGAACUGAAACAUCUAAGUACCCCGAGGAAAAGAAAUCAACCGAGAUUCCCCCAGUAGCGGCGAGCGAACGGGGAGCAGCCCAGAGUCUGAAUCAGCUUGUGUGUUAGUGGAACGGUCUGGAAAGUCCGACGGUACAGGGUGAUAGUCCCGUACACCAAAAUGCACAGGUUGUGAACUCGAAGAGUAGGGCGGGACACGUGGUAUCCUGUCUGAAUAUGGGGGGACCAUCCUCCAAGGCUAAAUACUCCUGACUGACCGAUAGUGAACCAGUACCGUGAGGGAAAGGCGAAAAGAACCCCGGCGAGGGGAGUGAAAAAGAACCUGAAACCGUGUACGUACAAGCAGUGGGAGCACCUUCGGGUGUGACUGCGUACCUUUUGUAUAAUGGGUCAGCGACUUAUAUUCUGUAGCAAGGUUAACCGUAUAGGGGAGCCGCAGGGAAACCGAGUCUUAACUGGGCGUUAAGUUGCAGGGUAUAGACCCGAAACCCGGUGAUCUAGCCAUGGGCAGGUUGAAGGUUGGGUAACACUAACUGGAGGACCGAACCGACUAAUGUUGAAAAAUUAGCGGAUGACUUGUGGCUGGGGGUGAAAGGCCAAUCAAACCGGGAGAUAGCUGGUUCUCCCCGAAAGCUAUUUAGGUAGCGCCUCGUGAACUCAUCUUCGGGGGUAGAGCACUGUUUCGGCUAGGGGGUCAUCCCGACUUACCAACCCGAUGCAAACUACGAAUACCGAAGAAUGUUAUCACGGGAGACACACGGCGGGUGCUAACGUCCGUCGUGAAGAGGGAAACAACCCAGACCGCCAGCUAAGGUCCCAAAGUCAUGGUUAAGUGGGAAACGAUGUGGGAAGGCACAGACAGCCAGGAUGUUGGCUUAGAAGCAGCCAUCAUUUAAAGAAAGCGUAAUAGCUCACUGGUCGAGUCGGCCUGCGCGGAAGAUGUAACGGGGCUAAACCAUGCACCGAAGCUGCGGCAGCGACACUAUGUGUUGUUGGGUAGGGGAGCGUUCUGUAAGCCUGCGAAGGUGACCUGUGAGGGUUGCUGGAGGUAUCAGAAGUGCGAAUGCUGACAUAAGUAACGAUAAAGCGGGUGAAAAGCCCGCUCGCCGGAAGACCAAGGGUUCCUGUCCAACGUUAAUCGGGGCAGGGUGAGUCGACCCCUAAGGCGAGGCCGAAAGGCGUAGUCGAUGGGAAACAGGUUAAUAUUCCUGUACUUGGUGUUACUGCGAAGGGGGGACGGAGAAGGCUAUGUUAGCCGGGCGACGGUUGUCCCGGUUUAAGCAUGUAGGCUGGUUGUCCAGGCAAAUCCGGAUAAUCAAGGCUGAGGUGUGAUGACGAGGCACUACGGUGCUGAAGUAACAAAUGCCCUGCUUCCAGGAAAAGCCUCUAAGCAUCAGGUAACAUUAAAUCGUACCCCAAACCGACACAGGUGGUCAGGUAGAGAAUACCAAGGCGCUUGAGAGAACUCGGGUGAAGGAACUAGGCAAAAUGGUGCCGUAACUUCGGGAGAAGGCACGCUGGUGUGUAGGUGAAGCCCCUGCGGAUGGAGCUGAGACCAGUCGAAGAUACCAGCUGGCUGCAACUGUUUAUUAAAAACACAGCACUGUGCAAACACGAAAGUGGACGUAUACGGUGUGACGCCUGCCCGGUGCCGGAAGGUUAAUUGAUGGGGUUAUCCGUAAGGAGAAGCUCUUGAUCGAAGCCCCGGUAAACGGCGGCCGUAACUAUAACGGUCCUAAGGUAGCGAAAUUCCUUGUCGGGUAAGUUCCGACCUGCACGAAUGGCGUAAUGAUGGCCAGGCUGUCUCCACCCGAGACUCAGUGAAAUUGAACUCGCUGUGAAGAUGCAGUGUACCCGCGGCAAGACGGAAAGACCCCGUGAACCUUUACUAUAGCUUGACACUGAACAUUGAGCCUUGAUGUGUAGGAUAGGUGGGAGGCUUUGAAGCGUGGACGCCAGUCUGCGUGGAGCCAACCUUGAAAUACCACCCUUUAAUGUUUGAUGUUCUAACGUUGGCCCCUUACCGGGGUUGCGGACAGUGUCUGGUGGGUAGUUUGACUGGGGCGGUCUCCUCCCAAAGCGUAACGGAGGAGCACGAAGGUUAGCUAAUCCUGGUCGGACAUCAGGAGGUUAGUGCAAUGGCAUAAGCUAGCUUGACUGCGAGCGUGACGGCGCGAGCAGGUGCGAAAGCAGGUCAUAGUGAUCCGGUGGUUCUGAAUGGAAGGGCCAUCGCUCAACGGAUAAAAGGUACUCCGGGGAUAACAGGCUGAUACCGCCCAAGAGUUCAUAUCGACGGCGGUGUUUGGCACCUCGAUGUCGGCUCAUCACAUCCUGGGGCUGAAGUAGGUCCCAAGGGUAUGGCUGUUCGCCAUUUAAAGUGGUACGCGAGCUGGGUUUAGAACGUCGUGAGACAGUUCGGUCCCUAUCUGCCGUGGGCGCUGGAGAAUUGAGGGGGGCUGCUCCUAGUACGAGAGGACCGGAGUGGACGCAUCACUGGUGUUCGGGUUGUCAUGCCAAUGGCACUGCCCGGUAGCUAAAUGCGGAAGAGAUAAGUGCUGAAAGCAUCUAAGCACGAAACUUGCCCCGAGAUGAGUUCUCCCUGAGACUUUAAGUCUCCUGAAGGAACGUUGAAGACGACGACGUUGAUAGGCCGGGUGUGUAAGCGCAGCGAUGCGUUGAGCUAACCGGUACUAAUGAACCGUGAGGCUUAACCUU
rnacentral:rRNA from 1 species